CAGCAGCCACGGUAAUACGAAGGGUGCAAGCGUUAAUCGGAAUUACUGGGCGUAAAGGGUGCGUAGGCGGUUGUUUAAGUCUGUUGUGAAAUCCCCGGGCUCAACCUGGGAAUGGCAAUGGAAACUGGACGGCUAGAGUGUGUCAGAGGAUGGUGGAAUUCCCGGUGUAGCGGUGAAAUGCGUAGAGAUCGGGAGGAACAUCAGUGGCGAAGGCGGCCAUCUGGGACAACACUGACGCUGAAGCACGAAAGCGUGGGGAGCAGACAGGAUUAGAUACCCCCGUAGUCCCUGUCUCUUAUAC
rnacentral:rRNA from 1 species